GAUGAACGCUGGCGGCGUGCCUAAUACAUGCAAGUCGAGCGAACAGACGAGGAGCUUGCUCCUCUGACGUUAGCGGCGGACGGGUGAGUAACACGUGGAUAACCUACCUAUAAGACUGGGAUAACUUCGGGACACCGGAGCUAAUACCGGAUAAUAUAUUGAACCGCAUGGUUCAAUAGUGAAAUACGGUUUUGCUGUCACUUAUAGAUGGAUCCGCGCCGCAUUAGCUAGUUGGUAAGGUAACGGCUUACCAAGGCAACGAUGCGUAGCCGACCUGAGAGGGUGAUCGGCCACACUGGAACUGAGACACGGUCCAGACUCCUACGGGAGGCAGCAGUAGGGAAUCUUCCGCAAUGGGCGAAAGCCUGACGGAGCAACGCCGCGUGAGUGAUGAAGGUCUUCGGAUCGUAAAACUCUGUUAUUAGGGAAGAACAAAUGUGUAAGUAACUAUGCACGUCUUGACGGUACCUAAUCAGAAAGCCACGGCUAACUACGUG
rnacentral:rRNA from 1 species